CAACAGUACGUGAAACCGCCUAGAGGUAAACGGGUGGAUCCGCAAAGUCGGCCCGCGGAAUUCAGCUCGGAAGGUCGCGCGCCCGUCGCCGGGUAGGAGAUCGCAAGACUCUCCUGGCGCGGGACGCGCGUCGGCCGUGUGCACUUUCCGUGGGCAGAGCGCCACGACCGGUUCUCGGGCGGUCAGAAGGCGGCGAGGAUGGUAGGCGUGCGCCUUGGCGCGCGCUGGUAUAGCCUCGCCUGUCCCGAUCCGCCUGGGGACCGAGGAGCCGCCGCCGGCUGGGGCCGCCUCGCCCUCCUGGGAUGUUCGACUGGCAGAGACUGGGCAACCGUGUCUGCCGACCGCUUCCUUGGACGGACUGGGGUGGGCCCGCCGGCACAGGGUCAGCGGCGAAUCGGUCGGCCCUCCACCCGACCCGUCUUGAAACACGGACCAAGGAGUCUAACAUGCGCGCGAGUCGUUGGGUCGUACGAAACCCGAAGGCGAAGUGAAAGCGAGGGCCGUCUCUGACGUGCUCAGGUGGGAUCUCGUGGCCUUUGGGUCGUGGGCGCACCACCGGCCCGUCUCGUCCGCG
rnacentral:rRNA from 1 species